GUUGUCUGAGUCUAAGGAGUGAUUUGUGACCAAAGAAUAUCAGCAAGAGUGAAGGGAAAGUUUACAAGACAUUAGUGAGACCAGCUAUGUUGUACGGCUUAGAGAUCGUGGCACUAAGAAAAAGACAAGAGACAGAGGUGAAGAUGUUGAGAUUC